rnacentral:rRNA from 1 species
GACGAACGCUGGCGGCGUGCUUAACACAUGCAAGUCGAACGGAAAGGCCCUGCUUUUGUGGGGUGCUCGAGUGGCGAACGGGUGAGUAACACGUGAGUAACCUGCCCUUGACUUUGGGAUAACUUCAGGAAACUGGGGCUAAUACCGGAUAGGAGCUCCUGCUGCAUGGUGGGGGUUGGAAAGUUUCGGCGGUUGGGGAUGGACUCGCGGCUUAUCAGCUUGUUGGUGGGGUAGUGGCUUACCAAGGCUUUGACGGGUAGCCGGCCUGAGAGGGUGACCGGCCACAUUGGGACUGAGAUAAGGCCCAGAAUCCUACGGGAGGCAGCAGUGGGGAAUAUUGCACCAUGGGCGGAAGCCUGAUGCAGCAACGCCGCGUGCGGGAUGACGGCCUUCGGGUUGUAAACCGCUUUCGCCUGUGACGAAGCGUGAGUGACGGUAAUGGGUAAAGAAGCAACGGCUAACUAAGUG